GACGGAGGGUGCUAGCGUUGUUCGGAAUUACUGGGCGUAAAGGGCGCGUAGGCGGCAUGCUAAGUCGAACGUGAAAUCCCUGGGCUCAACCCAGGAACUGCGUCCGAUACUGGUUGGCUUGAAUCCGGGAGAGGGAUGUGGAAUUCCAGGUGUAGCGGUGAAAUGCGUAGAUAUCUGGAGGAACACCGGUGGCGAAGGCGACAUCCUGGACCGGUAUUGACGCUGAGGCGCGAAAGCCAGGGGAGCAAACGGG
rnacentral:rRNA from 1 species